GAUGAAGAACGUAGCGAAAUGCGAUACUUGGUGUGAAUUGCAGAAUCCCGUGAACCAUCGAGUCUUUGAACGCAAGUUGCGCCCGAAGCCAUUAGGCCGAGGGCACGCCUGCCUGGGUGUCACACGUCGUUGCCCCCCCAUCUACUCCUUCGGGAUUGCGGGGGGCGGAUGAUGGCCUCCCGUGCGCCUCGUCGCGCGGUUGGCCUAAAUGCCAAGUCCUCGGCGACGCACGCCACGACAAUCGGUGGUUGCGAAACCUCGGUUGCCCGUCGUGUGCGGUCGUCGCGCAUCGAGGGCUCGAAAAAAUUGCCGGGCUUCGGCUCGACUUUCAUCGCGACCCCAGGUCAGGCGGGGUUACCCGCUGAAUUUAAGCAUAUCAAUAAGCGGAGGA
rnacentral:misc_RNA from 1 species